UUCUCUCUCUCUAGGGUUUUUCUCUCUCUAGAGAAAAGCCGCCGAUUCGCGCCGUUUUCGCGCCGCGCUCGUUGCUUGCUGAUAGGAGGACUCAAGGGAAGUCUUUGGCACGUGGGGAGAAGGAGUUUUGCUGUGUUUCUUGUGAGGUUAUCACCAGGAAAGGCUGAAUCUCAGCUUUAGAGAGGGUUUCGAACCAUUUUGAGCUAAUUGGAUGACCUUGGGGACUGUCUCGAAGUGUUCUAGAAGUGUUCUAACCUGAGGUUGCAGCGGGCUUGCAACGGACCUUCGAAUUACCUCCGGCUGAUACGUGAGGGAUUUUGGAAGCUUAA